GCCUCCGUGGUGUAAUGGUCAGCACACUCGGCGAGUAUUCGAGAGGUCCAGGGUUCGAGUCCUGGCGAGGACA
rnacentral:tRNA from 1 species